rnacentral:rRNA from 1 species
UACAGAGGUCUCAAGCGUUGUUCGGAUUUACUGGGCGUAAAGCGUGCGCAGGCGGUCCGUUGUGUCCGAUGUGAAAGCCCCGGGCUUAACCUGGGAAUGGCAUGUGAAACUGGCGGGCUGGAGUGUGGCAGAGGGGGGUGGAAUUCCGCGUGUAGCAGUGAAAUGCGUAGAGAUGCGGAGGAACACCGAUGGCGAAGGCAGCCCCCUGGGCCAACACUGACGCUCAGGCACGAAAGCGUGGGGAGCAAACAGG